rnacentral:rRNA from 1 species
AUUGAACGCUGGCGGCAGGCCUAACACAUGCAAGUCGAACGGUAACAGGAAGCCGCCUGCUGCUUCGCUGACGAGUGGCGGACGGGUGAGUAAUGUCUGGGAAACUGCCUGAUGGAGGGGGAUAACUACUGGAAACGGUAGCUAAUACCGCAUAACGUCGCAAGACCAAAGAGGGGGACCUUAGGGCCUCUUGCCAUCGGAUGUGCCCAGAUGGGAUUAGCUAGUAGGUGGGGUAACGGCUCACCUAGGCGACGAUCCCUAGCUGGUCUGAGAGGAUGACCAGCCACCCGGGAACUGAGACAAGGUCCAGACUCCUACGGGAGGGAGCAGUGGGGAAUAUUGCACAAUGGGCGCAAGCCUGAUGCAGCCAUGCCGCGUGUAUGAAGAAGGCCUUCGGGUUGUAAAGUACUUUCAGCGGGGAGGAAGGGAGUAAAGUUAAUACCUUUGCUCAUUGACGUUACCCGCAGAAGAAGCACGGGCUAACUCCGUG